rnacentral:rRNA from 1 species
AGCAGCCGCGGUAAUUCCAGCUCCAAUAGCGUAUAUUAAAGUUGUUGCAGUUAAAAAGCUCGUAGUUGAAUUUCGGGAUCGACGGGUCGGUCGCGCCUCUGGUGUGUACUGGCCCUGUCGGUUUCUCCCUUCUGAAGAACCGCGAUGUCAUUAAUUUGGUGUCGUGGGAAAUCAGGACUGUUACUUUGAAAAAAUUAGAGUGUUUAAAGUAGGCAUUCGCUUGAAUACAUUAGCAUGGAAUAAUGAAAUAGGACGUUUGAUCUUAUUUUGUUGGUUUCUAAGAUCGACGUAAUGAUUAAUAGGGAUAGUUGGGGGCAUUAGUAUUCAAUUGUCAGAGGUGAAAUUCUUGGAUUUAUUGAAGACUAGCUACUGCGAAAGCAUUUGCCAAGGAUGUUUUCAUUAAUCAAGAACGAAAGUUAGGGGAUCGAAGACGAUCAGAUACCGUCGUAGUCUUAACCAUAAACUAUGCCGACUAGGGAUCGGAUGAUGUUAAUUUUUAAUGACUCAUUCGGCGCCUUAA